UACGGAGGGUGCAAGCGUUACUCGGAAUUACUGGGCGUAAAGCGUGCGCAGGCGGUUUGUUAAGUCUGUUGUGAAAUCCCCGAGCUCAACUUGGAAUUGCAAUGGAUACUGGCAGGCUGGAGUAUGGUAGAGGAAGGUGGAAUUCCCGGUGUAGCAGUGAAAUGCGUAGAGAUCGGGAGGAACACCAGUGGCGAAGGCGGCCUUCUGGACCAAUACUGACGCUCAUGCACGAAAGCGUGGGGAGCAAACAGG
rnacentral:rRNA from 1 species